CUUUAUUGGAGAGUUUGAUCCUGGCUCAGGAUGAACGCUGGCGGCGUGCCUAAUACAUGCAAGUCGAGCGAAUGGAUUAAGAGCUUGCUCUUAUGAAGUUAGCGG
rnacentral:rRNA from 1 species